rnacentral:lncRNA from 1 species
CCGGAACGGAAGUCCUCCAAGUGCGGGGCUCGCUCUCUGGAGCGGGCAGUGGGUAGAUCUGGGUAGACUAAGUGGCCAGGAUGCCACCAGGGGAAGAUCACUCUUAAUAUUCGUCCUUAGCACCAGCAGCAGAAGUCACGCUGGAUGGUUUACAUAGAAAAGGAGAUUAUGAAAGGAUAAAAGGGCCUUUCUGCUUCUAGCAUGGUGUCGCCAGGAACGAGGACAGCGAAAUCCUGACGAGCACGGGACUGUGCCUGUCGCUGAGGCAGCCAGAGAGGGGACCGGCGCACAGGCGGCCAGGGCCAGAGCAGCAGGUUGUGCGACCCACCGCCCUUCGCCACAGGGAAGCAGCCCUGAGCUAGUCGGGAGUCCUGGCAAAGACCGAGAAGCUGUCUCAGGAGGCCAGUGUCUCCGCUCUCACUUCCGAGUGCAGGAUCCCUUGGCGCCUCCUAGUACUACUGUGCCCUGUUAUCUAGGUCACAGGACGCUACAGUGACCCGACCGGGUCAAUGACAAGGCCCAGGACCUCUGGAAGUGAAGAAAGAUAUGGGUCAUCGCUGCAGGGGACGAACGGAACGAGACCUGCCAACGUGCUUGCGGAAGGCCGGGAAAUACAGAAUCAGAGUAAAGGUAGUCGUAAACACCUCAGGAGCAGUUACAGAAGUGAGGAUUGUGAGCUGGGCGUGGUGGCCCAGGCCUGUAAUCUCUGGACUCAGGAGGCUGAGGCAGGAGGAUCGCCAUGAGUUCGAGCCCAACCUGGGCUACAUCGUGAGCUCAAGCAUCCUGAGACACAACUCGGCACGGCUAACAGCUCGGCUGCUUCCUGUGACAUCCUCGGGGGCUCAUUCGGGAUCCCUAGGAGGGAGGGAGGACCCCACUCGGAACUUUACAUUUCACAGUGAGGUGCUGCUACAUCAUGAUGCGGCCCGUCUGUUACUGCCUGUUCCUCAUGAAAUGCUACUUGCAAUGUGUAAGACUUGUUACACACACACUACGCUAAUCGAUCUCAUUCACCGUUUGUGGCACCAGCCUGUCACAGAUUUUUGUUGUUGUUCCCUUGCCAGCAGGUAUGAUUUAAAGGAAUAGGAGACUUUUUUUUUUUCUUUUUUUUUUGAGGCAGGGUCUCCCUUUGUAGCUCAGGCUGGCUCUGAACUCACUGUGUAGCCCAGCCGGGCUACACAGCGAGACCUGUCUCCACAGAAAGGAAAGAAUGGAAAACAUGAAAUAAGAUGUCUGGUGCAUUCCUGCCGGGCUCAGGCACCCAGAGAAGGGGUGCGAGCUGCUCUCCCUGAAAGGCCCCCAGGGUAGACAGCAGCAUCACGGAGCUCUGGGAGAGGGACGUGUUCGAGAGCAGGAACCUCGGAGGCUGUGAGAGGCGGUGGUGACCUUGGGUGUGGUGGCAUGCGUGUCACGUUCCAGAUUCCAGAUGUGCUAGAGAUUGCGGCAGCUGUCACUUUCUUGUUGAGUCCACGCGUAUUCAUUCAACAAACACGCACUGAGGGCCUUCUGGCUGUAUGGGACAAGCACGCUGAUACAGGCCUGAGACCACCUGGCUCAGGGCCUCCGGGUGAACCCGGGCAGGGCCGGCCCCGGGAGGUGUCCUCGGGGUCACGCAGGAAAACAAUGCGAUGCACCGCCAGCCUGCCCUCGGAUCCCUCCGCCUCUGGCCGCAGCUUCGGCUGCUCCAGUGACUUUUAAUGACCUACGUGCAACUUCCACACUGACAUGCCAAGUUCCCCGGCUGUGCAGCCCCCCAGGAGGGAUGGCAAGGCCCCCGACCCCCGGGACACGGUGUCCCAAGGGCCCGCUCCCCAC